rnacentral:tRNA from 1 species
GCGGACAUGGUGGAAUUGGUAGACACACUGGAUUUAGGUUCCAGCGGCUUUAUAAACCUUGGGGGUUCGAAUCCCCCUGUCCGCACCA